AUGGAUGAACUCACAGGAAGUUUCCUUGAAGUUCUAAAUCAGGAAUAUUUGAAGGCUAUCAGACCAGUGCAAUUGAGACAGAAAUUCUUAAAGCCUUCAUAUGGAUUUCAGGCUUCAAUUUCCUCUUACCAGCAUUUACCCUACUUUCCCUAUCUGAAGAUCACAAUCCUUGACAACCAAGGCAGAAAAAUCAUCAGACCUUAUCAGAUCUGUUCUCUACUUGUCAUCCGUCAGCAUUGUACAAUCGGACCUGAAUCACAGGCAAAGCUGGACCUUCCCUGCUCUUAUUUGGAAUAUAGGGACCUACUUCAGCCUUAUGGAACAAGUGGCCCUGCCUCAACCUGGAUUACUGCUUAGUAAUAUUUCACCUGGUCCCACAGUAAAAAGUGAGAUGGUAUUGAAGCAACAUUUGGAACAGAAAUUACUGGUAUGUACUAGUAUAUACUCUUUACAUUUAUCCAGCCUUAAACAUGGCAAUAAUAAUAUUUUAGAAAUUAUUAACAUUUAUGGUGCACAUACUUAAUACAUCUAAGUAAUUGCAUCGAGUGUUGUAGCUACAUUAAUUUAUUUAAUUCGCCUUAUAAUCCCAUGGUAUGGAUGCUAUUAGAAUAAACCAAAUGAAAUUGCUGGAUUUUGACA
rnacentral:lncRNA from 12 species